GAUGAACGCUAGCGGCAGGCCUAACACAUGCAAGUCGAGGGAGAGGUUAUCUUCGGGUAACCAAAACCGGCGCACGGGUGCGUAACGCGUAUACAAUCUGCCUUUCACAUAGGGAUAGCCCGAAGAAAUUUGGAUUAAUACCUAAUGGUAUAUAGGAGCGGCAUCGUUUUUAUAUUAAAGCUACGGUGGUGAAAGAUGAGUAUGCGUUCUAUUAGCCAGUUGGAGAGGUAACGGCUCCCCAAGGCGACGAUAGAUAGGGGUUCUGAGAGGGAUGUCCCCCACACUGGUACUGAGAUACGGACCAGACUCCUACGGGAGGCAGUAGUGAGGAAUAUUGGACAAUGGUCGGAAGACUGAUCCAGCCAUGCCGCGUGCAGGAUGAAGGUCCUAUGGAUUGUAAACUGCUUUUGUAAGGGAAGAAUAAGGAGUACGUGUACUUUGAUGACGGUACCUUACGAAUAAGCAUCGGCUAACUCCGUGCCAGCAGCCGCGGUAAUACGGAGGAUGCGAGCGUUAUCCGGAAUCAUUGGGUUUAAAGGGUCCGUAGGCGGGCUGAUAAGUCAGAGGUGAAAGCGCUUAGCUCAACUAAGCAACUGCCUUUGAAACUGUCAGUCUUGAAUGAUUGUGAAGUAGUUGGAAUGUGUAGUGUAGCGGUGAAAUGCUUAGAUAUUACACAGAACACCGAUAGCGAAGGCAUAUUACUAACAAUUUAUUGACGCUGAUGGACGAAAGCGUGGGGAGCGAACAGG
rnacentral:rRNA from 1 species